GCCUCUUUAGCUCAGUGGUAGAGCACUGGUCUAGUAAACCAGCUGUCGUGAGUUCAAUUCUCACAUGAGGCA
rnacentral:tRNA from 1 species